rnacentral:rRNA from 1 species
UGAGUAAUGCAUCGGAACGUGCCCAUUCGCGGGGGAUAACGCAGCGAAAGCUGUGCUAAUACCGCAUACGAUCUACCGAUGAAAGCAGGGGAUCGCAAGACCUUGCGCGAAUGGAGCGGCCGAUGGCAGAUUAGCUAGUUGGUGAGGUAAAGGCUCACCAAGCCUUCGAUCUGUAGCUGGUCUGAGAGGACGACCAGCCACACUGGGACUGAGACACGGCCCACACUCCUACGGGAGGCAGCAGUGGGGAAUUUUGGACAAUGGGCGAAAGCCUGAUCCAGCCAUGCCGCGUGCACGAUGAAGGCCUUCGGGUUGUAAACUGCUUUUGUACGGAACGAAACGGUCUUUUCUAAUACAGAAGGCUAAUGACGGUACCGUAAGAAUAAGCACCGGCUAACUACGUGCCAGCAGCCGC